GUCUUUAAUGAUUUUGUAACGGAAAACAAAAUAGAAUUAACCCAGCACUACAAUGUUAUCAAUUUAUCAGGAGAUGCUCAUUUAGAUG
rnacentral:snoRNA from 1 species